UAAUGGAACCACUUCGACUCCAUCUCGAACUCGACAGUGAAACGUUAUUGCGGCGAAGAUACUUGGGGGGUAGCCCCCUGGGAAAAUAGUUCAGUGCCAGGUU
rnacentral:rRNA from 1 species